rnacentral:rRNA from 1 species
AUUGAACGCUGGCGGCAGGCUUAACACAUGCAAGUCGAGCGGGGUGAUGGUGCUUGCACUAUCACUUAGCGGCGGACGGGUGAGUAAUGCUUAGGAAUCUGCCUAUUAGUGGGGGACAACAUCUCGAAAGGGAUGCUAAUACCGCAUACGUCCUACGGGAGAAAGCAGGGGAUCACUUGUGACCUUGCGCUAAUAGAUGAGCCUAAGUCGGAUUAGCUAGCUGGUGGGGUAAAGGCCUACCAAGGCGACGAUCUGUAGCGGGUCUGAGAGGAUGAUCCGCCACACUGGAACUGAGACACGGCCCAGACUCCUACGGGAGGCAGCAGUGGGGAAUAUUGGACAAUGGGGGGAACCCUGAGCCAGCCAUGCCGCGUGUGUGAAGAAGGCCUUAUGGUUGUAAAGCACUUUAAGCGAGGAGGAGGCUCUUUUGGUUAAUACCCAAGAUGAGUGGACGUUACUCGCAGAAUAAGCACCGGCUAACUCUGUGCCAGCCGCCGCCGUAA